rnacentral:rRNA from 1 species
UACGUAGGGGGCUAGCGUUGUCCGGAAUCAUUGGGCGUAAAGCGCGUGUAGGCGGUCCGGUAAGUCCGCUGUGAAAGUCGGGGGCUCAACCCUCGGAUGCCGGUGGAUACUGUCGGGCUGGAGUACGGAAGAGGCGAGUGGAAUUCCUGGUGUAGCGGUGAAAUGCGCAGAUAUCAGGAGGAACACCAAUUGCGAAGGCAGCUCGCUGGGACGUUACUGACGCUGAGACGCGAAAGCGUGGGGAGCAAACAGG